ACAGAGCAUGAACGGGGGAGGGGCAGAGAGAGAGGGAGACACAGAGUCGGAAACAGGCUCCAGGCUCCGAGCCAUCAGCCCAGAGCCUGACGCGGGGCUCGAACUCACGGACUGCGAGAUCGUGACCUGGCUGAAGUCGGACGCUUAACCGACUGCGCCACCCAGGCGCCCCUUAUUUAUUUAUUUUUGAGAGAGAGAGAGAGAGAGAGAGAGAGAGAGAGAGAGCGAGCAUGCACAAGCUGGGGAAGGGCAGAGAGAGAGACAGACAGACACACAGACAGAAUUGGAAGCAGGCUCCAGGCUCUGAGUAGUCAGCACAGAGCCCUACACGGGGCUCAAACCCACAAACCGUGAGAUCAUGACGUGAACCAAAGCCGGAUGCUUAGCUGACUGAGCCACCCAGGCACCCCAGAAAGGAGUUGCAAUUUUAAAUAGAGCGGUCAGAGUGGGUCUCACUGAGACCUUGCAUUUGAGUCUGACAUGCAGCUCUCUGGGGCAGAGUGAAUGUUCCAGGCAGAGGGAGCAGCCAGUGCAAGAAUCCUGAGGCAGGAGCACGUGAGGACCUAUGAGGAGUAGUCAGGAGUCCACUGUGGCCGGAACAGGGUGAGUGGGAGGCACAAAGGAAGGACAGAGAGGUCGGCCCUGCCCCAGUUGGAACUUGUAAGGAUUUUCAUUUUCACUCUGUGGGACUUUUGAACAGAGAAGCACAUGAUCUGAGUUGUGUUGUAAAAGAUUCUCUGUCGGUGCUGAGUUCAGACUGGACUCAGGAGGGGGAGGGCGGCUGUGGAGAGACCGGGCAGAGAGGCCACUCACUGCAGGAAUGCAGAUAAUCCAGGACUGUCCUGUCUGCAAAGUCUCCUUUGUCAUGAACACUGGGAUUCCCAGGUUCCAGGUCUUGUCCCUGGCAUUCACUUUACCCUUGUGUGUGGUCUCCACGUGCUGGAAGAGCAGCUUCAGAGGUCUGGCAACUUAGAGCUUACAGGAAGGAGCCAAGAGCUAGAAAGAACAGCUUCCUGACUCUUCAUUUUCCUGGGACAAAGACCGAAUAGAAAAUCCUGUUAUUAGAAAGGGAGCUUUCCAGGCAAAACACUGAAGCAACAGCCUCUCCUUCGCAUUGUUCUGUUUCCAGAAACUGGAGGAGUAUUCUGCACAGCCAGGGACCCAGGCUCAGUUAAUGUGUAAGCUGAAGACCACUCAAGACUGCAACUCAUUGGCAGCAACAAAAGCCACCAGUCAUACAGGAGGCUGCCACUUGCCGGGGCCUUUUGUAAGUGUCCUCUGUGUAUGAGUUAGGUGUUUGUACCCCCUGUUUUACAUUUUCGAAGCUGCCCAGGGAGGCAGAAGGUGGAGCUCACGGUUGUAUGUGCAGGCAUGGGCAGCCUGCCUCUCGCUACGGGGGGCUAUGCUUUCUUCCUCCCGACGGAUCAGAGUUUUUCAGAGCCAGUUACAGAGAAGUUCAGGAAAUGCUUCUCGUGUUUUGAAGCUUGCCACAUUAGAUGUGAACGUCUGCGGCACCACAAUCGCGUGUUGGUGCGAUUGUCACUCCAGACGCAGCAGCUCAGAUCAGCAGGGAGGUUUCGGCAGGGGAAACGUGGACUAUCACCGUGGGCGCUCUGCAGAUGCGGGUACAGUGAGCCCCUCGCGGUCCCCAUGCACCUGUCGCCAUCACCACCACCUCCACCAAGGGAGGACAAUCCAGGACCCAAGCAAAUCGUUAGCCCUUUGAUGUAUCAAGGAGGGAGGUGUGGGGAGAGGGGACCAGCCCAGGAUGUAGAAUCAGAAAGGCCAGGCCAUGAACCCCGGAGCCACCAAAUGCUUUGCCAGCUGGGUGACCUCAGCUAAGACGCUGGGAGUUUCAGGAUCCUGGCUGUAAAAUGGAAGUAAUAACCCAUCUUGGGGUUCGGUGUUAAGCGAGGAGACAGUGCUGGCCACCAGCAGGGCCACUCAUUAUGUCAUCUGCUGUGACGUGUAUAUCACGGGGCCUAGAACACCUCGUCCUCUCCCCUCCCCCCUCCCCCCUCUCACUUUGCCUUCACGCCGCUCUGAUCCCGAAAGAUGGUUUCGUUCUGGCCUUGGGCGUCUCCAGCGGAACAUCUCCAACCACUUUAAUUCCUUUCUCCAGCAGGUGACAUUCGAAGAUGCUUCCCAUUUACCCCAGGAGUUGGGAAACACUGUAAUAUUCUCCUCUAAUUAUCUGUGUCUCAGUGGGAAGCCUGACAUUAUAAUUAACUUGGGCUCCUGUCUGGGAUGACAUUUUGCACAGCAUAGUGUGUUCCUGGGUGAGCAGCACCGUAGCAGAAGCUGGUAACAUGCUCCCCGGCGACGCCGUUGGGUUUGAGCAGGAGAACUGGCACAGAGCCCCCAAGGGUGAAAUCGUAACUGGGAUUCCUGCAGCACCCCCCGCCACACCUCCCCAGUGCAACAGGGCAACUUUAAAAUUCACUACCAACUCCUGCCAUGGGUUACAGACACCCCUGCCUGUGCCCUACCGACUGGCCGGAACACGUGAGCUAUGUUCUGGAGCUGCAUGAGGAUUGGGGCGCCUGGGUGGCUCAGUCAGCUGAGGGUCCGACUCUUGGCUUCUGCUCUGGUCAUGGUCUUGCGGUUUCGGGAGUUCGAGCCCCGCAUCGGGAUUCUCUGUCUCCCUUUCUGUCUCUGCCCCUCCCCAACUUGGGCUGUCUCUGUCUCUCUCAAAAUAAAUAAACUUAAAAAAAAAUUUAAAGCUGCGUGAGGACUAGGGUUAAAAUGAAGACUCAUUUCCACAUCUGCUAGAUUAUGUCAUCCUCCCAUCUAUUACGUAAAUUAAAGGGAAAAAUUAAGGCAAGAGAAUCUGAACAUAUUUUUAUAUGAAGACUCAAUGUUUCCGGUAAAUUCCAAUUGUCUUUCUACUCUGGCCAGGCAGCUAUCAGCCACCUCACGGUUUUCCUAAGUCCUCCGAGACCUGCACUGUCCAGGACAGCAGCUAGUAGCUAUAGGGACAGACAAGUGUAGGUUCUGGAGUUAGAAAGCCUGAGAUCCCAGAGCCACCAAAUGCUGUCCUAUUUAUUUGUCAGAUUUAAACAAAAUGCAGAAUUUAAAUCCUCAGUCACACCUAGUCACAUGUCAAGUGCUGACUAGCCAUACACAGCCAGUGGCUACCAUAUUGGACAGCAAAGGUACUGAACAAUUCUGUCUUCACAGAAAGUUCUAUUGGAUGGCACUGCCCUGGACCCUUGGCAAAACAAUGUGAGCUCCACAGGUUAUCUAGAGCCUACCUCAGCUUGCCUUGGGCCGAGUUCUAUUUAGGGGAGACUUUUUGUUUCCCAAGACAGGUGUUCUUGGUUGUGGGGUCGGGCGUCAAACAUAUUUUACGAAUAAAAUGCCUUAUGUUUCAAAAUUUGAAAAUAAGUGGAUUUUGUUAAAAUAAGCUAAGGGGAGGACAGGGUCACCCCUGUGGUGCCAUCAUUCUUGUUCCCUUUGGUUCUGAUCUGGCUUCUGAUUUCUCAGAUGGGGUGGGGGGCAGCUUGUGCAGAGAAAUCACAGCAGGCUCGUCACCACGUCUAAUGUCAAGGAGAUGGAAAGAGCCACUCCAAGGAUGAUCUUGUCAUUCUCUGCUCCGGGUGACACACACCUGCCCCCCCGAGCAAGCCAGCAUACUGGUCUGUGCCAGCUUAGCCCUCUCACAGAACAGAUUCUCUUGCCUCAGCUCGGGUUUCGAAGGAAGGACAUUAACUGUCACGUGAAAAUCACCACAGCAUUUACUGUCACUUUUUUUUUUUUUUCUUUUUUUGCUGGGAACAUUGCCUAGUUCAUCCCCCAAUGCUCCCAAAUAAGGUAUUUAGUUUAGAAUGCACCGCCUGAGAAAGCUUUGCCUCGCUUGUGGAAACGGUAUUCAUAAUUUACUGUGUAUGCCUUUUCUUUUUUCCCUCGGCUGCUAAGAACACAGAGCCCCAUUGCCAUCAAGAUAAGAAGGAACUGCAUUCUGAUGGUCUCAUUAUUGGAUUUCUUCUCUUCUUGUACAAGCUACUACUGUAUUGUACUUUAAUCCAUUUCAAAAGGAGGGAGGUUACUCAUUAAUUGGCACAUGCGAUUUUAUUCCUUUGUCUCUGGUUUCCUUUGUUUCCUGGGCACAGAUUCGAUUUCUAAUCCAGAUACCUGAAAAAUACUUUUAUCUGGUUUGUGAUGGAGACUGGGGGCCAGGUGAGAGGUGGUGCCGUCAUCUGUUUAUAACGUUCAACCAAACAAUCGACUGAUACGUCCUGUGUGUGGAUGCUGCUAGAUCCCCCACGUCCAACAGGAAUACAAUGCACUCUGCGUCUCCAUUGUUAGCUUCCUAGUAGCCAUUUUUUAAAAAAAUGUAAAAAGCAAGUGAAACUAAUUUUUAAUUUUUUUUAGCGUUUACCUAUUUUUGAGAGUGAGAGACAGAGCAUGAGCGGGGGAGGGGCAGAGAGAGCGAGGGAGACACAGAAUCUCUAGAAGGUUCCAGGCUCUGAGCUGUCAGCACAGAGCCCGACAUGGGGCUUGAACUCACAAACCAUGAGAUCGUGACCUGAGCCGAAGUCGAACGCUCAACCAACUGAGCCACCCAGCCGCCCCGAGACUAAUUUUUAAUACAUAUUCUAUUUAACCCAAAUGGUCAAAAUCUUACUAUUUCAACAGACUCAAUGUAAAAAAUUGAGACAUUGUACAUUCUUUUUUUUUCCACACUAAGUCUUUGAAAUGCAGCGUGUAUUUUACACUCUGGGCACAACUCAGUUCGGAGGCUAAAUUUUUAAUGGUUCAAGUGAAAUGUAGUCCCCUCAAAACAAAGCUGUGUAGAGUGGAGAAAAAAAAUAUUAUAUACGUUUCUUCAGUUUUCAGAUGUAAACUUAAGUUAAUUAAAACACAAACAAAUCAUUCAUUUUCUCAGUCCCACCAGCCAAAUCCCAAGUGUUUGGCGGCCACACAUAGCUAGUAGCCGCCGUGUCCGAUGGCAUGGCUCCAGAUGCUCUGAGAGCUACCAAACAGGAUAAAAAACAGCCCUUGCCUCAAAAGAGCUUCCCGUCUGGCAGACAGGAUGACGUUUAUACACACACGUAUUAUGAUGCAGUGCAGAACGAAUCCAUUGUCACCGGAAGUCAAAGCAGUACGUGCAAGCCUUCGGAGCAACGGUGUCGUUUCUUUUGGCUCUGUGCGGUUUAAACAAUAAUAUUUACUGCUCGCAGACUUGACAUUGAAACCCAGGCCUUGUAGGACUGACUGGGUGCCAGUGAUCCCACCCACAGCAGAGAGGAUGGAGGAGGCCAGCGGGAAUGCCCUGGGCAGCGGCACAUGGGAAAGGUCAAGGCCACUGGCUCAAUACCAGGCUGCUCUCUUUCUUCCUGCUAGUUAAUGAGAUUAGUGUCUCGAGCCUCGGCACUGACCUACCUUUGCAUGCACCAGGCAGAUCGUCUUUUGUGUCAGAACUACAAUGUUGCUGCUGUGCUCGGCCCGGGCAGCUCCGCGCUGGGCCAAGGCUGUCAUGAGAAAUACCUGCAGACCCUUUCCUCCGCCUGGAGAAGCCAUCCCAAGGACAGGUUGUUCCUGCAUACUGGCCCGCUGCUUCCGUCCCAGAACUCAAAGACAUUAUCAUGUCCAGAGUCCCACGUGACCCAUGUUGGCUUCGCAAUGAUCUUUGCCCAGUGCUUGACUUGUCUUUGCUUCACUGUAAAAAGAAUUGUAGCUUCUCUCAAACUUUGAUUUAUAAAAAUACCUGAAGCCUUGGCGGCCAGAUUAAUCCUCCAAGGAACAUCUCAUCUGCUGAUGUGUCCCUGUCCCCUGUUGGGGUGGCCUCAACUCUUGAGAAGCUAUAGCAGAUAACAGGACUAAUCAGGUGAUAAUAUUUGAGGCACUAACUUUAUAAUAGUCCCAGCUCAUUCAUAUUCAUAUAUGCUAAUUUUAGCACACAUUAAUUAUGUGUUUAAUAAGUCCCCUGUUUAUUCUAUUUUGUCUCCAUUCCCUUGGUAGCUGUUAUGGUGUGGGGUUGAAAAUAAUUAAAAUGUUACUUGUGUUCUGCAAAUAACAAUUAACCAAGGAUGAAUUCUGAAAUCAAAAUCCCAUUCUCUUCCCCUCUCUCUGAUUAAAUACAGUGAGUGAAA